CAGGCAAGGGAACGCCUUGUCCUGCUCCCGAGGGGACUCUGGGGGUCCCCGCCCUCGGAGAGGUGUCCCCAAAGUGUGCGUGUGCUUUGUCCCUGCGGGCUGCCAGCGCUGCCGUGUUUAUUUUUCCAGGGAAGGCUGUCCAACAGGCUGGAGCGCUUAUUUUUAAGGCGACACGGGGGGACUUUGCCAGCGGGCGGGCACAGGCUGAGCCUGGGACUGUCAGCAGCAGGGCUGAGCCCCAGCCCUUCCCAGCACCCGCAGGCAGGCUUUAGCCCAUCAUCCCUGUGCUGAACGCUCGUUGUGUCUUUUUCCCUCCAAGCACUGGGAAUAUGUCUGCUUGGAGCUGCCCAUUCCGCACGCUGUACAUGGACGGACCUCGUGAUUUCCUCGUCAGGCACAUCUGGUAACAGCCGUACCCCAAACACCCCUAGGGAUGGUCUGUCUGCCCUUCUCACACCACCCCUGGAUGUCUCCCACCCCCUUUCACAUCUCACUGUAAAGACAAGCAAAGCAGGCAGUUGCCCACAGCCUCCUCCCGUGGGUCCCUGUGUAAACUUUGCAGCUCUGUUUUCCCUGGACUCACAGCGCUGUCAUCACCCCCCUCUUCCUGACCUUCUCACACCCCCCUCGAAUGCAGCCCUACCUUCCAUCUCUUUCCUCACUGCAGAGGCUCUAAUGGCCUAAACCAACCCUCCCCCCACAGUUUAUCUCUGCUGUCCCCAUGCUGCAGCCUGCUCGUGGAAUGAUGGACAAGCUAAAGGUUGAGAAAAUACAGUAAAAUGCCUUUCUUAUCCUGUAAUGACCAAGGGGGAGGACACAACCUGAUAAAAAUGACAAACCAGGAGAAUUGAGAGCCAGACCCUUCACCUGCCUGUCCCUCAGUGCACAGAAAACACUUGAUAGACCUGCUGUGAUUGCAACUGCUGCAAGCCUGGGAAAGAAAGGAAUUAACGACUGAGCCAAAUAGAGCUACAGGUUUCUGACCAAAGAAAUGUCCUUCUGCUACCUGUGAAGAGGUUAAUUCAGAGACUUACAUAGGAAGAAAACCUGAAGCAGGCUGAUCAUUUGGAGCUGGUGGAAAACGCAUCUGCAGCCCUGUGUUUUAUGGCCAGAGGGCUUUGCUUAGCAUCUGGCACCUGCAUAGUCCCACUGCAGUGAUGGAGGCUCACAUGACAGAUAGAUCCAGCUGCUUGCUUGGGCCUAUCUCUGUUUUCAACCACUCACUUUGCUCCUCUGUUUUUAUUGGCAUGACUUUCAACAGCAACCACUAGUGCUGGAUCAGCCAUUUCCUGGCAGGCAGUGACCAGGAGGCAAACAUUUCAUCCUCUAAAUUGCCCCAAAGGCAGUCUAAGAUGCUCUGCAGCAAACACUUGAGCCGCAAACAAAGCUCCUUCCACCUCCCAUUUAAACAAAUUGAACCUGAAGAGGCCACAGGGAGUGACAGAUGGGGGAGAUAAAGGCAUAAGACUUUAAGUAUUGCUAUGGCUGCUUGAAGUAACUGUAGUAGAAACUUCCACGGAUUUUCUACUCUCCUUCCUUGCUCCUGAGUCUGGAUGGAGACUGAAGCAGGCUCUUUUUGCUUCUUUAUGUUUGCUCUACUCAGCCUCCCUCCCACCACCCUUGUGGCUGCCUCCUCCUCUUUCAUCUCAGAUAUUGAAGCUCUCUCAGGCUGGCACUUUCUUCCCAUGCCCACCAGCAGUACUUUGGGCAAAGAGCCUCACGUUGUACCCUGUAGUCACCUGGUGCUCCACAAGGCAAUUAUUUGAAAAGAAUUCGCUUUCUUUGAAAAGAAUGGGCUGAUCAUUUAGUCUUCUCCUCUAUUCCCUUCCUAAAAUCAUGCUAAAAGGAGGUUAAAUGACCUUCAGUCAUUCCUUUACUUUCUUGUGCUGUAACCACCACAGAGAUGGUACAAAACUGUAGUGGGAGGAGAAGCAGCAUGAGCAAAUCCUGUCUGUCAGGUGGCCUCUGUCUCAAAACACAGCCCUGAGCUGGAUGCAGCUACUGUGGGGCUUGGGGAAGGGGGAACAGGGGACCUGUGUAGUGUCUUGGCCAGGUAACUCAGGCUUAACUCUGUGUUAGCUCCCCAGAUCAAACUGCCCUUUGCAGCAUGCAGAGAAGGCAUUUCAGACUCCCUGAUAUGAUAUGACACAUCCCCAUCAAAUCUGGGUAUCCUCUUUUCUUUUUAACAGGGAGGCAAAAAAAAAAAUCCAAAAAAGGAAAAAUAUCCUCCAUGAUUAAGACAGGUUUGAAAAUUUAAUUAUAGACUAUGUUCUGAAAGAGACAAGCAAGAGAGCAUUAUAUGUGAUGUAUUUGCCAACAAAUGUGAGCAGGGAGCCAAGGUACUGGGCAAAAGGGAGUAGCAAAACCCUUGGAAUUUCGCUACUAAAAGCCAAGUCUCAGUGAAGCCCUGCAGCCACAUUUACCCAAAGCUUGAAUGGAACAGAAUCAAUUGAUCUUUUAUUACUGCUGUGGUCCAGCCUAAAUUCCUCCUGUUUUGCACACCUGGAGUUAGAGAGGCGAGGAUGCAGCCUGGGCUUCUCAAUUUGCACCUUUCUCCCAACUAAGACACACUCUAAAGAAGAGCAGAUUCCCAGCAGUAAGGCAGGCUGGCCCUCCCUCUGUCACACAUUUUUGAGGGCUGCAUCAGACCUGUGCUAUUUUAAACCCCUGUGAUUUUUGCAGAAACCUGAUUCUGCUUUAAUCCUGAGCAGCAGCACACACAGGUGGCUCCAGGCACUUGGCCCCAUCACAGCACAGCUGUGAAGUAGGUAAAUGGCCAUGUGCACAGCAGGUUUUUCCUAGGAAAGCAAGAACAAAGUGGACACAACAGGUGAACUGGUUCCAGCAAGCAUUUGGCAAAUGGAAGAGCUAGCCCUGCAGCUCCUGUAGGUAAUGAGGAGAAAGGAGGACUACAGGUAAGCAAAAAGUGGUUCAGGACCUCAAGAGACUACAUGCAGGAAAAGCUGAAAGCUUUCUGCUUUCAGGAAGGGGCAUGGGUCAACCUGUGUGUGGAGGAGCCCAGCUCCUCCCACAGUGGCUCUGCAAUGAUUAGCUUCACCUUGGCAGCAAAGAGGCUUAUUUAAGGGAGAAUCAGCUCAUGGCAAAUGCAGCUCUUCAUCCAUCCACAUACAGCAAAGCUGAAAGAUCAGGCUGCUGAGAGGGACAGGGCUUUGGGUUGCUGGUCAGCUGCCAUUCUGCUCGUUUGCAGUGGUUCUCCUCAGCAGCAUUACAGACUGCGUCCAUACUCAAGCUGGCCAGAGAGACAAGCCAGCUCUGAGCUGGAGAGGGCAUUGUGCCAAACCAGAGCGAGCCAGUGCUGCUGAGAGGUUCCCCAAAGACAGGUGGUGGCUGAAUUCAGGGCAACUGGCUUAUGGCAACCCCCAAAGUCCUCCAUGGAGCUGGGCUGGAGAAUUGCAUGGGAAAGCCCUAGACGGAGUUCCUCACUCGCAGAGCAGCGAGCAAACUGGGAAAGCUGGACCAGGAUGCUCCUGCUGGCUCCACCACGGAGCACCAAGAGGCCACCCCCUCCACUCACCCUCUGUCAAACUCGGCCACGUCCCUCAGCUGUCCCCGGUGUUCAAACCCACUUCUGGGAGACAGCAGGAAAGAUGAAAUGCUCAGCAUCCUCACCAGUCCCUGAGGAGGAGGGAUGGCUAGCAGCCACCAGCACCUUUUCUGGACCCAGAUGAUGAUGUAUCAAGGAAAUUGGUGCUAAACCAUAAAAGGCACCUCUCUAGGGAAGGACAAGGGAAGGAUGGGAGUAUCUACUCUGCCUGGAGACAGGAGUGGGUGAAGAACACUCAGCACUGGUUUAAAACAAGUCAGUGCUUCCACAGGAGCAGCCGUUCCACCACAGGCAGGUGGUUUGCAGCAGGAUCCUCAUCUUGAACUCAGGGAAAAGCAGAAGUGCACUGGCAGAGCUGUCUGGGGAGCUGGGAACAGGAACCUAGAGGUUCUUCUGGCCAAGACUGUGAUCUGUUUAUCAGAUCUCUGUUCAGGAGCCUACAGCAUCCUUCCUGCCUAACCGUAAGGAGCACCACAGCUUGUAUUGAUAUCCUGCUUGCAUGGGAACCCCUAGAGCUGAGCCUCAGGUGUUUGGUGAGAGCUGCUGACAGUGAGCCAGAUGGAGGACAGUGUCAUCAAUGGAUGACAGUGUCACUGACAGUGCAAGCAGGUCUCUUCUUUCCACUUCUGCACUGCUGGUUUAAACUGGGCUGCUGACAGAGAGAGCUGAGCAGCCACUGCCAUUGUGUGGCUGCAUCCAGCCCUGGGGGGGCACUGAGCUGAAUUUCUGAGCUGAGUACCGGGCUGAGGUAGAGGGAUGUGAUUCUGGUGCCUUGGAGGAUGAAAGUGGUACCUGCAAAGCCUUUGUCCAGCCCCUGUGGAAAUGCAGUGGGAGGAGCAGCCUGCCUCUGCCAGGCUGCUGUCAGCCCUUGGCUGUCCAGGCCCCCCACCCCAGCUGACACAGCUGCUGGAGAGCCUGGGGUGACAAGGGGUGCAGGCAGCCCUGUCCCACUUUCAGCAUCUCAGGUCUU